AAUUGGCUUAAGUUUAUACAAAUAAAAACUAAAUUCUCUUCAGAUAAAUCAAUUACAGAUAAAUUAAUUAGUUAAUUGGUGGAACGUCUUCUAAAGAUAGAAUACACAAAAUUAUGCUGAGAGUAUUUUCGAAAAGUUAUAUGGUCUCUAUGGAUAUGAAGGGC